rnacentral:ncRNA from 1 species
GGUUUCGCUGCUUUUUUCAAAGUAGCGGAUGAAAAGGGAAUCGGGUGAAAAUCCCGAACAGUCCACGCUGCUGUGAGACUUCAUUAACAGAUUGACAAUCACCUUUGCCACUGUUUAUUAUUAAACGGGAAGGCGUCAGUCUGGAAGCCAGUCAGAAGACCUGCCAUUCAUGAUAA